UACAGAGGUCUCGAGCGUUGUUCGGAUUCAUUGGGCGUAAAGGGCGCGUAGGCGGCGGGGUAAGUCGGGUGUGAAAUCUCAGGGCUCAACCCUGAAACUGCACUCGAUACUGCUCUGCUUGAGGACUGGAGAGGAGACUGGAAUUCACGGUGUAGCAGUGAAAUGCGUAGAUAUCGUGAGGAAGACCAGUGGCGAAGGCGGGUCUCUGGACAGUUCCUGACGCUGAGGUGCGAAAGCGUGGGGAGCAAACAGG
rnacentral:rRNA from 1 species